rnacentral:tRNA from 1 species
GUAGUCGUGGCCGAGUGGUUAAGGCGAUGGACUAAAAAUCCCAUUGGGGGUCUCCCCCGCGCAGGUUCGAAUCCUGCCGACUAGG